CUCUAGCUGGAGAGCCUUCCUUUUGGAUCCCUUUCACAAGCCCAGGACACAGGAAAAAUGCAAAAGCUCCAGUGACUUCCUGGGCCUCUCAGACCAUCAGCACAUGAUGUUGAACAGGGGGUCUGAUGUCCACCUAGAUCCAUCUAGCUAUGAACUCUUGACUGUGCUGGGAAGGGACAUGUGAAAACAUCCAGCAUGCAUUAACAUGCACUUAACUGUAUGUGAGAACAUCCCUCCACAUUUAGCACAAGAACAUCUGUAUUUCUGGCAUGGAACAUGAAACAGCAGGAGAAUGAUUUUUGUGUUAAAGAUGUGCCUUUUUUCACCCAGGAAAAUCUCCACAUACUUGAUCAAGGAUUUGAAAAAUGUGUUGUUAAUACUGAGCAAGUGAGAGAAUUCUGUUCCUUCUUAGUCCAUUCCUCUUGCUGGACAACACACAGGGGCCAGUCCAACAGCGAUAUCUGGUAUACCAAGGCCUCUGCCUGUGGAGUGUGCAUCAGAUAGAGUGGCUCUUGUAGGAGAACUCAUCGCUAUGAUCUGUCAUCACUAUGAUCUGUCAUCCCUAUGCUUGCAGUUACUCUCACUUUUGCAGCAUUGUGGACUAAAACCUAUCUGAAUCAGAGGGGAAAAAAUAGACUGUUUCUGCUGGGGCUGCAGGGAGAAUUGAAACCUAGGACUAGAGAUUUUAUGCAGAUGCUGAUGAAACCAAGGUCUGGUUGGCAAAGCCUGAGAAGCUGGAAUGAGAGAGCUUAAGAAGGGGCCUGAGGGCUGGAGGGGAGAUGAAGAGACAGCAGCUGUGGAGGAAAAAAUGAGCAUGGAUCCAGGACAGGGAGAGAUGAAGGAGACUGAGUGAUUGAGGAAAAAAAACAAAGACAACUACUGGAAGAGAGUGAAAGGAAUUGAAAGGAAUUCAGAUGGCUUUGUGUGAAUGUUUGAUUCAUAGUUUUAGGAACAAUAAAAUGUUCAGUAACUGAAGCAUAGACUGGUAAGAAGAGGAAGAAAUGUUAGCCCAGUUAAUAUAGAGAAAUGCUUCUUUGGAUAGAUGAACUUUAUUUUCGCAUCUUCCACAGAAUCCUCCUGAGGUAAUGAAACAGGAAAGUCAUUUUAAAAGCCUUAGUGCUACUUUUUCAGUCACUUUCUUCAGAUCCAACAGAAGAGCUCAACAUCUAAAUUGUAAAAAUACUGAACAUACAUAAGUGCAUCUGAAGUCCAAGCCAGGCAGGGCUAUAAAAGAGGAAAAAAAAAAUCAUUGAAGCAUGCUUUGAAAUGAAGAGGCAGUGCCUCUUGGUCUGGAUAACUGGAUAAGCAUAUGAAUGAAUAUUUUUAUCCCCAUAAAAUGGGGAAACCCUUCACCUCCCUUUGCAAUGACAAGUCAAUAUUUGUGACACAGCUGGUUGUUAUAUGGGUAUUACUAUGAGGAAAUGAAUCAUUUGGAAUAAACAGCAGAUCAAGAAUAACAUUCAGUAAAAAAUAAAAAUGCCUAGGGCUAAUC
ensembl:lncRNA